rnacentral:lncRNA from 1 species
UAAUUUAUUGUAAAAUUUAUUAUAAUAUUUAGUAUUUAAAUAUAAAUAAUAUGUAUUAAUAUAGUAUAAUUAAUAAUUUUAUAAUAAAAAUAAUAUAUUAUAAUAUAUAAUGUAUUAUAUUUAUAUAAUUUAGUUUUAAUUUAAUUUAUAAUUUUAAUAAAGUUUGAAAUUAAACAUUGGAAUAGCACUAUUCCAUCAAAAUGGUGGAAUAAUAAAUCCCAAGCUAUUCCUGGAUAGCCGGGAAUAGCAAGAUUUGACCGGAAUAAAAUAUCCCGACAAAAAAUUAUUUCGUUUGGCGGAAUAUCGGGGAUAACUUUCGUUAUCCCCGUUUAUACUGCCAACCAAACGUGGCCUUAAAUUGCUGACAUUUUAUAAUAAAAGAAGCAUUUCUAACACUAGAAAAUCAGAAAGUUAGUAGAGAUAGAAUAAGUA